rnacentral:rRNA from 1 species
GGGGAAUCUUGCACAAUGGGGGAAACCCUGAUGCAGCGACGCCGCGUGAACGAUGAAGCCCUUCGGGGUGUAAAGUUCUUUCGACAGGAACGAUAAUGACGGUACCUGGAGAAGAAGCUGCGGCUAACUACGUGCCAGCAGCCGCGGUAAUACGUAGGCAGCGAGCGUUGUUCGGAGUUACUGGGCGUAAAGAGUGCGUAGGCGGCGAGCCAAGUUUGGUGUGAAAUCUCCCGGCUUAACCGGGAGGGUGCGCCGAAAACUGGUUGGCUGGAGUAUGGGAGAGGAAAGCGGAAUUCCUGGUGUAGCGGUGAAAUGCGUAGAUAUCAGGAGGAACACCUGCGGUGUAGACAGCUUUCUGGACCAAAACUGACGCUGAGGCACGAAGGCGUGGGGAUCAAACA